GGAUUUUUCUGAGUGCAAUGAACCAACUCCCGAGUCUCUAGGACGUUCCUAAAAAAAUUUGAUUUUUUCCCAUAGGAAUGCAUGGGUUAGGGUUAGGGUUAGGGUUGGAGCUAGGGUUAGGGUUAGGGUUGGAGUUAGGGUUAGUGUUGGAGCUAGGGUUAGGGUUGGGCUUGGAGCUAGGAUUUUUCUGAGUGCAAUGAACCAACUCCCGAGUCUCUAGGACGUUCCUAAAAAAAAUUGAUUUUUUCCCAUAGGAAUGCAUGGGUUAGGGUUAGGGUUAGUGUUGGAGCUAGGGUUAGGGUUAGGGUUAGGGUUGGAGUUAGGGUUAGUGUUGGAGCUAGCGUUAGGGUUGGGCUUGGAGCUAGGAUUUUUCUGAGUGCAAUGAACCAACUCCCGAGUCUCUAGGACGUUCCUAAAAAAAAUUGAUUUUUUCCCAUAGGAAUGCAUGGGUUAGGGUUAGGGUUAGAGUUGGAGCUAGGGUUAGGGUUAGGGUUAGGGUUGGGUUAGGGUUAGUGCCAACCCAAUUUUUCACCUUCCAGAAUUGUGUUAGGAGCACGUUUCACGGCACGGGGAGUCUAUAUAACCUAAUUCUGGGGGAAGUUUUUUGAAAAGUUUACUUAGGGUUUGGGUUAGGGUUAGGGUUGGAGCUAGGGUUAAGGUUGGAGCUAGGGUUAGGGUUAGGGUUAGGAUUAGGGUGGAGCUAGGGUUAGGGUUAGGGUUGGAGUUAGGGUUAGGGUUGGGGCUAUGGUUAGGGUUAAGGUUGGAGCUAGGGUUAGGGUUAGGGUUAGGGUUGGAGCUAGGGUUAGGGUUAGGGUUGGAGCUAGGGUUAGGGUUAGGGUUAGGGUUGGAGUUAGGGUUAGUGUUGGAGCUAGGGUUAGGGUUGGGCUUGGAGCUAGGAUUUUUCUGAGUGCAAUGAACCAACUCCCGAGUCUCUAGGACGUUCCUAAAAAAAAUUUUUUUUUUCCCAUAGGAAUGCAUGGGUUAGGGUUAGGGUUAGGGUUGGAGCUAGGGUUAGGGUUAGGGUUAGGGUUGGAGUUAGGGUUAGUGUUGGAGCUAGGGUUAGGGUUGGGCUUGGAGCUAGGAUUUUUCUGAGUGCAAUGAACCAACUCCCGAGUCUCUAGGACGUUCCUAAAAAAAUUGAUUUUUUCCCAUAGGAAUGCAUGGGUUAGGGUUAGGGUUAGGGUUGGAGCUAGGGUUAGGGUUAGGGUUAGGGUUGGAGUUAGGGUUAGUGUUGGAGCUAGGGUUAGGGUUAGGGUUAGGGUUGGAGUUAGGGUUUGUGUUGGAGCUAGGGUUAGGGUUGGGCUUGGAGCUAGGAUUUUUCUGAGUGCAAUGAACCAACUCCCGAGUCUCUAGGACGUUCCUAAAAAAAUUUGAUUUUUUCCCAUAGGAAUGCAUGGGUUAGGGUUAGGGUUAGGGUUGGAGCUAGGGUUAGGGUUAGGGUUGGAGUUAGGGUUAGUGUUGGAGCUAGGGUUAGGGUUGGGCUUGGAGCUAGGAUUUUUCUGAGUGCAAUGAACCAACUCCUGAGUCUCUAGGACGUUCCUAAAAAAAUUUGAUUUUUUCCCAUAGGAAUGCAUGGGUUAGGGUUAGGGUUAGGGUUGGAGCUAGGGUUAGGGUUAGGGUUAGGGUUGGGUUAGGGUUAGUGCCAACCCAAUUUUUCACCUUCCAGAAUAGUGUUAGGAGCACGUUUCAGGGCACGGGGAGUCUAUAGAACCUAAUUCUGGGGGAAGUUUUUUGAAAGGUUUACUUAGGGUUAGGGUUGGAGCUAGGGUUAAGGUUGGAGCUAGGGUUAGGGUUAGGGUUAGGAUUAGGGUGGAGCUAGGGUUAGGGUUAGGGUUAGAGCUAGGGUUAGGGUUGGGGCUAGGGUUAGGGUUAGGGUUAAGGUUGGAGCUAGGGUUAGGGUUAGGGUUAGGGUUGGAGCUAGGGUUAGGGUUAGGGUUAGGGUUGGAGCUAGGGUUAGGGUUAGGGUUAGGGUUGGAGUUAGGGUUAGUGUUGGAGCUAGGGUUAGGGUUGGGCUUGGAGCUAGGAUUUUUCUGAGUGCAAUGAACCAACUCCCGAGUCUCUAGGACGUUCCUAAAAAAAUUUGAUUUUUUUCCCCAUAGGAAUGCAUGGGUUAGGGUUAGGGUUAGGGUUGGAGCUAGGGUUAGGGUUAGGGUUAGGGUUGGAGUAAGGGUUAGUGUUGGAGCUA
rnacentral:lncRNA from 1 species